rnacentral:rRNA from 1 species
UAACGACUCUCGGCAACGGAUAUCUCGGCUCUCGCAUCGAUGAAAAACGUAGCGAAAUGCGAUACUUGGUGUGAAUUGCAGAAUCCCGUGAACCAUCGAGUCUUUGAACGCAAGUUGCGCCCGAAGCCUUSGGGCUAAGGGCACGUCUGCCUGGGUGUCACGC